GCUUAUUUAGUUUAAAUUAAAAAUUUUGGUUUGUGGUUCCAGAGAUCUUUUUGAGGAUAGGCU
rnacentral:tRNA from 1 species